UUCCAGUGCGUGUCUUGUGUGUAGCCAAGGUUAAUGUUUUUCCUUUUCUAUUAUUUUAAUUUUUUAAUUUUCUCUCUUUUUUCCUACCAGAUCGUGCUGUUACGGCCAUAUUUAACAUUAUUGAGCUUCUCUCCAUAGAAGAUAUCUGCUUGUGGAUCAUAAUAUUAAAAUGUUUGGGAGAUACUGGUCAUCUGGGCUAGGUGCUGAAGUUUGAUGGCUGGAGCUGCUGGGAGACGAAACAUUCUUCGUGAACUGACUGCUGUGUCUGAUAGAGGGGAUGGGAGUAAUUAUCGAAACAGCAGUUUGCCAUUAACACCUCCCUCUCCAGACGAAACUGUUAUUCAGCACCGUGGUCAGUGUCGAAAGUCAGCUACUUAUAAAUAUGGUAAGCACUGUCUC